CAGUUCUGAGGGCAAACCCGUCGAAAGGCGGGGACGCAAAGCCACCGGCCUACCGCGCGCAAGCGCCAUGGCAGCGGGGCUGCCAAU
rnacentral:ncRNA from 2 species